GGGUCGAUGGCGUAGCUGGUUAUCGCAUCUGUCUAACAUUGCCGUUGUGAACACAGAAGGUCCUCAGUUCGAACCUGGGUCGACUCA